rnacentral:misc_RNA from 1 species
GAAACAUCAUGUUAUAUCUCAGUAAAUCAAAUGAAUGCAACUACUAAUUUUUUUUAAAACUUUUUGUUUGUCCUUUUCAUCCCCUUCUAUCUUACAACUAUAGUAAUACUAUAUGUUACAAAUCAAAAAUUGUGGAGUUAUAAAGACCACAAAAAGCUAGUUCUUUUGCACUCAAUGUGAAAGAGCAUCCCAAGCAAUAAACUUUCACAAGCUUAUGCAUCUUCCUAGACACACCGAGUCCCGUCUCGAUCCGAUCCACCUGGGUAUGUAGCAAAAUAUAUGACAAUAAGUCACUCCUCGCCCCUCCGGCUAAGCUAGCUACUGCAAGGUACAUCCGCGGUGAUUGAUAACUCUUGGAGACUUCUUUUCGAUUGGGAAGAUACAGGAGCAGAACAAUCAACCUAUUGUUGUUGGAUGGGUCUUCCUCAAGAAGUUGAGUCAAUUUCAGAACAAGCUGCCACCAUCAUAACCUUGCUCCGUGCUGCAACGCGCUGAAAGAGUUUUCUCCUUGGGAAUCAUCAUGUUAACAGCAUUCAAUAAGGUAUAACAUAUGGCAGAGCACAAACAUCAGCGGAGUCUAUUUGCAAAGCUUCAGACCAUACACAAUGUUCCUUAUUGACUUCAUCUAGACUCAUUUCGGUACUCUUGGGCAGAGUUCUUUUGCUUCUGGACAACCAUUCCUGGUCAUCAUAUCCAGACCAAUCAUCCAUCACAGGAACUGAGAGUAUCUGGCUUAAAUACUUGGAAUCGGGAUGAGGAGGUCUUUUAGAUGCUUCUGCAAUCUGGUCAGCACCAGGAAUCAAAGAAGAAACCUUUGCCUUAACACUGGACAAUGGUUUUUUAGAUGCUUCAGCAGUCAGAUCAGCACCAGGAAUCACGGAAGAAUCCUUUGCCUUAACACUGAAUAAUGGUUUUUUACAUAUUUCAGCAAUCUGAUCAGCACCAGGAAUCAUGGAUGAAGCCGUUGCCUUAAUACUGAACAUGGGCUGACCUUCUAUACUACCAUUUAUCUUGUGCUCCUUGUUUUCCACUAUUGUAUCAGAAGCAACUCCCUGUAUAAUAGAAGAAAAUAUGUCUGCUUUUGGGUGAGUGUCCAAUUUCUUUCCAUUCUGUGUUGGCUGCUGAGAGGAUGAGGGCCGCAGCAAUUUAGCAGGCCUGACUUCACUCUCAUGCAGGAAACCAUUAGUUUCAACAUUCUUUCUUUUUUUGACAAUUCCCUCGGUGGCCGUACCAGCAAUAUUUUCUUUGGACACCAGUGGAGGCUUAUUGUUACUAAGAACAACAAAAUCAUUCUUAUUGUUGUCUUUUGAUUUAUCCUUCCGGCUUCUCUUGUGUUCAUUUUUAUCCUUCGACUUCUCUUCCUUUUUCUUCUCUUUUUCCUUGUCUUUUUGCUUUCCAUGACUGUGCUUUUCCCUUUCUUUAUCCUUGUUUUUUUCUCUUGGCUUGUCGUCACGUCUUUCCUUAGGUUUCGGUGUUUCCUCUCUGUUCCCAACAUUUUGUUCCACUGGUCGGGGAAAUCCUUCAAAAUUGUUCUUUGCCAUUGUAGAAAAACUGGGAGGUGUUGCAUUAGCUCCAAUUCUAUGUUCACCCCUGAAUGUUUCCGCGUCCAUCUUAUUGUUAUUAGAUCCUCUCUCCUCCUUAUUCUUUUCCCUGUCAACCAAAUUUCCAAAAACUUUGAUGCCCACUCUGUCUGACUUUUCAUCUCUUCUCCACUCAACUGGAGAUCUCUCUGCCAACUGACUUUGUGCACCUUUCUCUUCAUCUCUGAUCCUCCUAUCCAACUCCUGCGCAAAUUUUGGGUCCUCUGCCUCAACAACAGAGAUGCUGGUCUUAAAGGGCUUCUCUCCGCGCUGGACAUGAAACUGAUUUGGGAGUUUGGCUUUCUCUGAGCUAAUGUGUCUUUCUUUAUGUUCAUCUCUCCCUUUCUCUGAGCUGAUCUGCCUAUCUUUAUGUUCAUCUCUCUCAUGAAGUUUCCCCCCACUAGAAGCCCCAGGUGGAACGGCAACUCUUCCCUCCUCAGAGAUGCUGCUUUUCUCUUUAUCCUUAUCCCUGUCCUUGUCCUUCUUUUUGUCCUUGUGUUUAUCCUUCUUGUCCCUGUGCUUAUCCUUUUU